GACCUCUGGUUCCCUGUCCUAUCAGAUCUGAAUGUUGGUCUUGGUAAUCAUAACAGGAGGGCUAGCAAUACUGGAAAAAAAAAAAAAAAAGCUGGCUUCACAGGCUCUGGAGUCUGCCAUUCAAUAUGUGGGCUAGUUACAAACAAAU
rnacentral:snoRNA from 1 species